rnacentral:rRNA from 2 species
UUCGCUAGUAAUCGCGCAUCAGCCAUGGCGCGGUGAAUACGUUCCCGGGCCUUGUACACACCGCCCGUCAAGCCAUGGGAGCCGGGGGUACCUGAAGUCCGUAACCGCGAGGAUCGGCCUAGGGUAAAACUGGUGACUGGGGCUAAGUCGUAACAAGGUAGCCGUACCGGAAGGUGCGGCUGGAACACCUCCUUUCUGGAGCUU